AAGUGAUGCCAUUUUCCUUCAUGGCUUGUCCUGUCCACUCCUCUGGGCUUUCCAAGCAAGCCAAUCGUGGAUUAGAGCGAGGGCCAAACCUCCAAGUUUUUGUUAAGGUUGGCUGCAGCUCCUCAACCUGUAUUUGCUGUUGUCAAUAGAUGGGUGCAUCGUCACGAUUCAUCAAGGCACAGUAACACUCCAAGCUGCUCCAUGUCCAUCCAGGAAUGCUCUCCACAGCCACAAUUUUAUCUCAAACUCUGAGAAAAAGACACUGACUUACUUUCAGAAACAGCAAGUGGUAGGUCUUGGUUUGGGACGUGACUACAGAUCAAAGAGCACCUAUUGCAAGUAUAUAUCCAUGUAUAUCAACUUGGAAAAUGGAUAACCUCACCAAGAGCUCUGGUCAGCAAGCUGCUAUAAGACAAGAUGCAUGAUUACAGCAUAUCUAAAUUACUGAACAAGACAACAGCGAAAAAAGUCUGUUGAGAUCUUCAAUUCAUCAUCACCCACUGACAGAAAAGCAAUUUCCCCAAAGACUGUUCUGUGGAAAAAUUCAGACAGAAUCAGGCUGAAAACAGGCUAUAUCUUGAUUUUUAGUGCUGAAGAAUUUAAUUUCACUUUUAGAAUUUUUGUCAUGUAGGAUUUUUAGUUGUGUGAUAUAACUCACUUUGGGGUAUGGAAAAUUCACCAAUUGUGCAAUUUUUAGAAAUAAGGUUGUUAUUGUUUUAUAUGGGUGGCAAUAUAGGCUAUGACAAGACAUAAUUCAGGAAGAUUCCAUAUGUUUCCAUAUGGGACCACAUCUCAGUCAUUUUCCCCACCCUACACUAUUUACACCUGUGCAUGCUGUAGACUACAACUGAAAAUGAAUCUGAUGCAAAAACAAAUCCACAAGCUUCAUCCUUCAUAUUUUUCUAACUUUCAAGAAAUGGAAACUGCAACAUUCAAAACAGGUUAUUAGCUGUUUAGUAAGUCUUCCAGUCUACAACUUGAUCGUUUGGAAAUUCAGUUCAAAUUACUAUUGUGUUGAAUGACUGCCCAUGAAGGAAUAGGUAGUAGUAUUCUUAUGGAGAGUUACACUGAGACGAUCUCUUUCUUAGUAAGUAUUAAUUUCAAGUGCUGAUUAUAAAGAACAGUGAUGAAGAAAGAGGAAAACAACUACUCAAGACCACUAGGCAUCUUUUCCCAGAAGAAAUCUGGAAUUUAUCAUUUUUACAUGGACGUAACCAGAGUAAUCUGCAUGAUUUGUAAACCUGGAGGUUAUUUUCACCUCCUGCAUGAGAGUUAGCUAGAAGUAGGGAAUAUUUUUAUGUUUUUAAAUGAACUAAUAUUUCCACAUCUUGAAAUUUUGAUAAAAUAGGGAUCUAAAUGCAGGCCUGAUUUAGUUUUCUCACAGUGACCUUAAUAAGCAUCACACAAAAGAUGUGUAGAUGUGGCACUAGGGACACGGCUGAGUGGUGGACUUUGCAGUGCUGGGUUGGACUCAAUGAUCUUAAAAGUCUUUUCCAACCUAAACGAUGCUAUGAUUCUUUGUUAUUCCCUUGUUUCCUUUUGUAUUUAACUCUUGGUGAACAGAUCCUUAAUACAUUUGCUCCAACAAAGCUUGUCUGGUUGUUGCCAUUACAAAAGUCCACACUCCAGAAGGAAACCAAACCCUUUGGCA